GUUGAAUGAAUAUCAUUGAAUAAAGAAAAUGUCGAUGCUCCUGAAGAUUUGGAGGAGCAUCCUAAUGAUGAGGAAGAGGUGGAGGGAAUUGAUCUGCACCAGCAACGUUACCCGUGGGAGGGAAGUGACAUGGAUUACUUAUACGACGAGGUAAGCAUAUCAUUAGAUGGUUUGCGGUCCAUCUUUGAGAGCCGUCGAUUGUAAGUGUCUAUCGUUUUGAAGUUGUACGACACUAAGAUGUAAAGAAUUACUAAUCACGAUUACCUUACUAGCAGAGUUCUUUUGCACAGCUAUUGUCAAUGGAAUUAACACUGGAAAUUGAUGGUGCUAUAUUUCAUGUUCCAAAUGCUAACGCAAGCUCCAAUGUUGAUUCUCAGCUUUAACAUGCCAAAAUCACAAUGCAGUGGGUGUUGUAAAGUAAUUCAGUAGGCACAAAUGUUCAGUUGAAAAAAAUUCUAAACUGUAUUUAUGCAUCAAACUUAUCAUCCGUAACAUAAUAAUAUGCUUUUUCUGUGCUAGGAACCGUUUGUAAAUAAAUGUCUCGGAUGUAUAUGACUGCUUAGUUUGUUGCUUUUGACAGUGAAAUCACUAAACUUGCAAUGUGUCAGGACAGCAAAAGCAUCUCAGCUGAUGGUUAACUUUACAAUUUCGUUGGUUUCUUUUUCAUAUUAUGUUGGAUGGAUUAUUUUAGCUAACAAAUAUCGCAACAGAGCGCUGACAAUAACUCUAAUAGAUUUAUAUAUACAUUUAGAAUUAAAAGUUUGGUGAGAACAGGAACAAGUACUUCUGUCACGCUAUUGAACAGUUAUACGCCAUUUCAAGAGAAUUGAUUUCUUAUAUUUCUCAUAAUCAGUAAGAUUUUAACUGUUUUGUCUACUUUGCAUUCAUACUUCAUUCUCCAUCUAACUUCUCGGUGCUACUAUAUAAUGAUCAAGUCAUUUUCUGCACAAAUAGGCAAGUGGGGAUGUUACGUUGGGUGCUUGGUUUAUUUGGCUUGGCUAUACAAAGUCUGUUGUGACUCUAAAACUUUUACCUCAUUUAACAUUGAUUCUGGUUCUUGGAUGAAUUGCAGAUUGUGAAUGAAAGGCACAAGCAGGAAACAUAUGUGUAGCUGCGUUCGACUCGACAUGUAGCGGUAUCUGCAGAUCCGCUGAUCCCAUUGUGGAGGUUAACAUGCAAUGUGUUGACCUGGAAAUCAUUAUUUGAAAGCUACAUUUCGAGGCAUUUCCUCAACAUAUAAAUAGACCAUAGACAGAGUUUGAUAUUUAUAAUACUCAGUGAUCAUGGAGUCUGCAGAAAACAGUUCUUUUGCAUAUUCUAUAUGGAACCAAGAGAUAUGUCCUUUAUUUGAUGAUUGUAUUAUGAUAGCUACUAACAUAGGAGAUGACUAGAGAAAGAGAAAUGAGUAUGAAAAUCUUAUAUGGGUAGCUUUUGUAAACACAUUUGGGUUUAUUAACAGUUGUGACAAGCAAUUAUGUUUAUAGUAAAGGAAACCCGCCGCAGCGUCAAUAACAAAUGCGCCUGUUUUUUGGUUGUUUGGGAUUGAAAUAGCUUAUGGGUUUUCUGAAUCAAUAUAAUUGAUUUGACUAAAGCUAUCUUGGAUGACAAAAAGAAGGAUUGCAAGUUUAAUAACUUCUACUUUAAACUUUAAUUUCAACUAAAUUAUAAUCAAUCUUUUAUCCAUAUCAUCUUAGUUAUAAUCGUAAGGAUUUAUUAGAAUAAAUAAAUAGUUUCAACAAUAUUUAAUAUGUGAUUUAAUAAACAAAAGAACAUGUAGGAUUUUUAGGAUUUAAAGAGAUUGGAGACAAUAGUUAAUGAAUAUGAAAAGAAUACGAAGCAGAUGAUGAAAAAUGAUUCAAGCAAAUUAGUGGCAACACAGAGCUAAGGGAGAUAAAAAUAUCAAUCAAUAAAGAAUAAAAGAAGAAUGAGCAGGGUUAAGUUAUUACACAAGCCAAAACUAAGACAAAUCAAACGACAGAACGUGAAAACAAAUGUAAACAAGACAAAAGGAGAUGAUGAAGAUAAAAUGCAUUGAAAAACUGAAUGCUAGAUUAGUAAGCAAGAGACAAAAA